CGGAGGACUGAGAAGGUGAGGCAGUUCUGAACCAUGCUGCCUUCCACUGGUUAAGACCUCCGAGAGCGAAGGCCUGCAGAGGCAGAGGAAGUCCCUCUGCCACCCUCAGAGGGGUUAGCACUAUGCUGGCCGACACUUG
rnacentral:snoRNA from 1 species